rnacentral:rRNA from 1 species
GACGAACGCUGGCGGCGUGCUUAACACAUGCAAGUCGAACGAUGAAGCCGGAGCUUGCUCUGGUGAAUUAGUGGCGAACGGGUGAGUAACACGUGAGUAACCUGCCCUUGACUCUGGGAUAACUGCUAGAAAUGGUAGCUAAUACCGGAUACGACCCUCGGAGGCAUCUUCAGGGGGUGGAAAGAAUUUAGGUCAAGGAUGGACUCGCGGCCUAACAGCUAGUUGGUGAGGUAAUGGCUCACCAAGGCGACGACGGGUAGCCGGCCUGAGAGGGUGACCGGCCACACUAGGACUGGGACACGGCCCAGACUCCUACGGGAGGCAGCAGUGGGGAAUAUUGCACAAUGGGCGCAAGCCUGAUGCAGCAACGCCGCGUGAGGGAUGACGGCCUUCGGGCUGUAAACCUCUUUUAGUAGGGAAGAAGCGAAAGUGACGGUACCUGCAGAAAAAGCACCGGCUAACUACGUGCCAGCCGCCGCCGUAA